AGAGUUUGAUCCUGGCUCAGGAUAAACGCUGGCGGCGUGCCUAACACAUGCAAGUCGAACGCCCUUGUUUCGGCAAGGGAGUGGCGGACGGGUGAGUAACACGUGGGGAUCUACCCAGAGGUGAGGAAUACCGGCGAGAAAUCGCCGACAACACCGCAUAGCCUCCUCUGUACGGAGGAGGAAAGUCGCAAGACGCCUGU
rnacentral:rRNA from 1 species